ensembl:lncRNA
GAAAAAAAGGAAGAACAAAACUUUUUGAUGGCUUGUCUGGUUCCUGAGAGAGCCUGAUGCCCACCUCUUCCCUGAAAGAAAGAUGCUGUUUCUAACACACAGACUGCGAGUCAAUGAGAAGGAAGACAGAGAAGUGGUGGGAGAGAGGAAGUCCAGCAAGUGUGCUCCUUCCCCCGCCGUCCUGUGGCGGAGAUGGAAGUACCAUUGAAACGCCCAAGGCCAAAAAAGGAAGAAAAGGAGUUGUCAAACCUUUGAGCCCCCACAAAUGCUUUCACAGCCCAGGACACUUCCCCAAACACCUUCCUCAGCCACACCAUCGUUUCAGCAUUCCUCCUACCGAAAUGGCACGCGUCUCUUGGAUAUCUCCUUUUAUUCGAGCAUAUGAAGAAGUUUUUCAGAAAGAGUUAAUGGCACUGCUUCACUGCCAUACAGCACACGGUGUUGAGAUGAUGCAAAUUUCGUCGUCCGCCUGCUUCUCAUUCCUCUGCAGACCAACACCUGGACCACUCGCAGGCUGAGAAUCACAAGUUCAGAAUCUGCUGUUGCCAUUGAAAAUUUCAACAGCUCAUUUCAGUGUGUGACCCUGAUCCUGUCUAUCCUUCAUUAUCGCCACAAGGAGCUUUCCGAAAGAAUUUAUCUUCUGGGUUUGGGGAAUGCUGAGAAGUCCAGCUCACUAGGAAAUAAAUUCAACCUGAUGACUUAAGCAAACUUCCUGAAUGGCCAAUGUAUGAAUUUAUCUCCAAUUCAAGAAUGAACAGAGCAUUGUCUUACCAAAUGUCAUCAUUUCCUGCCUUUGAGAAGGGACUAGAAAGACUUGUGCUGAACCAAUUCAGAGUAUUUUAGGGCAGCUCAGGCUCCCCAAAGGCACAUCUCCUAAGAUACAGAGUCAUUUGGAGGCCGUGUCGCUGUUCCCCACCCAGCCGCAGAAGUGUCCGAGGGCUUCUUCUUCCUCACCCUAUUCAGCAGAAUCGAGUCACUGAGUCCGGCCGGUGUUUAAGGGGAAGGCAUGUGCUAAACAAUUGGGAGACAGAAGCAAAUUUACACAGUCCAUGCUUUCAAGGAGCUCACAGUCAAAAUUACCAUUCCAUGUGACGACAGCAACAUUAGGAGCAUAAGUGAGGCACAGAGAUGGAAUAGAGGGUACAUUUCCAGAAGUGGAAUUAUUGAGUGAAAAGGUGUUGGGAAGAUUCCUGCUACAGAGCAGCAACCAGAGCUCAGAGAGAUACACCAAUGUGCUCUCCCGCCUGCAGCAGUGAGAGAAGGGCUCGUCUUACCACCGUCAAAAUGAUCUUGCCUUUUCAGAUUCUGAAUUGAUUUGGGUUUGGAGCGUGAGAGGUUCUGAACAUCUGCAUGAGCUGGGAGAGCAGGAGGCAAGAGGAAAGGGGACAGGAGCAAGUUCAGAAGGAGGCCAAGGCUACUGUCCUGAAAUGAAGAAGUAUGUUCCCUGCCUAGACUGGCUUGGGACAAGAAUCUCUCGGAACAAACAAAAGAGCAUGAGCAGAGCCUAGAAGAGUUUCUGGACCCCACUGACGUGAACAAAAGUCACAAGACUCUUAGUGAUGAGGAACCGGAGUUUUAUCAGAUCCCCUCUCCCACUUUAAAUAUUAUGCAAAUGUUUAUAUAUAUUGAUGCUAGUAUUAAGCAUGUGGUAAACUGUCUAGGGUUGUCAUUCCAUAAUGUGGAUUCACUCAUUCCCUAUUAACCAUUCUCUGCUUUCAUAAAGCCAAACUAUGAACUCCUCAUGUGUGUGUGUUUAUUAUCCUUAUUACAACAAAAAUUUUGUUGCCCAAAGAGGGCAAAAAGGAGAAAGCAACACGCCUUCCAAAGGCUCUUGUUAGUCUCACGAUGGUUGCUUUUAUGUGUCAACUUGGC